GUGUCAGCCGCCGCGGUAAUACGGAGGGUGCAAGCGUUGUUCGGAAUUAUUGGGCGUAAAGCGCGUGUAGGCGGUCUGUUAAGUCUGAUGUGAAAGCCCCGGGCUCAACCCGGGAAGUGCAUUGGAAACUGGCAGACUUGAGUACGGGAGAGGGUAGUGGAAUUCCGAGUGUAGGGGUGAAAUCCGUAGAUAUUCGGAGGAACACCGGUGGCGAAGGCGGCUACCUGGACCGAUACUGACGCUGAGACGCGAAAGCGUGGGGAGCAAACAGGAUUAGAAACCCCCGUAGUCC
rnacentral:rRNA from 1 species